rnacentral:miRNA from 1 species
CUUUCAGUUGGAUGUUUGCUGU